rnacentral:ncRNA from 1 species
CCUGUUGCUGGUUCGCCUGUAGCAGG